AACGAACGCUGGCGGCAUGCCUAACACAUGCAAGUCGAACGAGACCUCCGGGUCUAGUGGCGCACGGGUGCGUAACGCGUGGGAACCUGCCCUUAGGUUCGGAAUAACUCCCCGAAAGGGGUGCUAAUACCGGAUAAUGUCUUCGGACCAAAGAUUUAUCGCCUUUGGAUGGGCCCGGGUUGGAUUAGCUGGUUGGUAGGGUAAAAGCCUACCAAGGCGACGAUCCAUAGCUGGUCGGGGAGGAUGAUCAGCCACGCUGGGACUGGGACACGGCCCAGACUCCUACGGGAGGCAGCAGUGGGGAAUAUUGGACAAUGGGCGAAAGCCUGAUCCAGCAAUGCCGCGUGAGUGAUGAAGGCCUUAGGGUUGUAAAGCUCUUUUACCCGGGAUGAUAAUGACAGUACCGGGAGAAUAAGCGCCGGCUAACUCCGUG
rnacentral:rRNA from 1 species